AGUUCGAUCCUUGCUCAGAUUGAACGCUGGCGGGAUGCUUUACACAUGCAAGUCGAACGGCAGCACGGACUUCGGUCUGGUGGCGAGUGGCGAACGGGUGAGUAAUGUAUCGGAACGUGCCUAGUAGCGGGGAUAACUACGCGAAAGCGGUAGCUUACUACUGCAUACGGCCCUUCGGGGAAAGCGGGGACCUUCGGGCCUCGCACUAUUAGAGCGGCCGAUAUCGGAUUAGCUAGUUGGUGGGGUAACGGCUCACCAAGACGAUCCGUAGCUGGUUUGAGAGGACGACCAGCCACACUGGGACUGGAGACACGGCCCAGACUCCUACGGGAGGCAGGGGGAAUUUUGGACAAUGGGGGAAACUCUGAUCCAGCCAUCCCGCGUGUGCGAUGAAGGCCUCCGGGUUGUAAAGCACUUUGCAGGAAAGAAAACGGCACGGGGAUAAUACCCGUGCAACCGACGGUACCUGCAGAAUAAGCACUCGGCUAACUACGUGCCAGCAGCCGCGGUAAUACGUAGGGUGCAAGCGUUAAUCGGAAUUACCGGGCGUAAAGCGUGCGCAGGCGGUUCGGAAAGAAAGAUGUGAAAUCCCAGAGCUUAACUUUGGAACUGCAUUUUUAACUACCGAGCCGCCCGUCGAGAGACCCGCAUGAAAACGCAGAUACAUGCGCCACGCGGAUAACGCUGAUCGCUCAUGCACGAAAGCGUGGGGAGCAAACAGGAUUAGACACCCUGGUAGUCCACGCCCUAAACGAUGUCAACUUAGCUGGGGCCUUCGGGCCUUCGGUAGCGCAGCUAAUCGCGUGAAGUUGACCGCCUGGGGAGUACGGUCGCAGAUUAAAACUCAAAGGGAAUUGACGGGGACCCGCACAAGCGGUGGAUGAUGUGGAUUAAUUGAUGCAACGCGAAAACCUUACCUACCCUUGACAUGUCUGGAAUCCCGAAGAGAUUUGGGAGUGCUCGCAAGAGAACCGGAACAGCGUGCUGCAUGGCUGUCGUCAGCUCGUGUCGAGAUGCUGGGUUAAGUCCCGCAACGAGCGCAACCCUUGUCAUUAGUUGCUACGAAAGGGCACCUAUCGAGACUGCCGGUGACAAACCGGGAGGAAGGUGGGGAUGACGUCAAGUCCUCAUGGCCCUUAUGGGUAGGGCUUCACACGUCAUACAAUGGUCGGGACAGAGGGUCGCCAACCCGCGAGGGGGAGCCAAUCCCAGAAACCCGAUCGUAGUCCGGAUCGCAGUCUGCAACUCGACUCGCGUGAAGUCGGAAUCGCUAGUAAUCGCGGAUCAGCAUGUCGCGGUGGAAUACGUUCCCGGGUCUUGUACACACCGCCCGUCACACCAUGGGAGGGGUUUUACCAGAAGUAGUUAGCCUAACCGCAAGGAGGGCGAUUACCACGGUAGGAUUCAUGACUGGGGUGGAAGUCGUAACAAGGUAG
rnacentral:rRNA from 1 species